rnacentral:guide_RNA from 1 species
ACAAUAAACAAAUGAAUCUCGGCAAGUGAGU